rnacentral:rRNA from 1 species
UUCCCGCCGCGCGCGGCGGGCCUACGGGAGGCAGCAGUGGGGAAUAUUGCACAAUGGGCGCAAGCCUGAUGCAGCCAUGCCGCGUGUAUGAAGAAGGCCUUCGGGUUGUAAAGUACUUUCAGCGGGGAGGAAGGUGUUGAGGUUAAUAACCUCAGCAAUUGACGUUACCCGCAGAAGAAGCACCGGCUAACUCCGUGCCAGCAGCCGCGGUAAUA